AUCGAACGCUGGCGGCAGGCCUAACACAUGCAAGUCGAACGGUAACAGGAAACAGCUUGCUGUUUCGCUGACGAGUGGCGGACGGGGUAGUUAUGUUUGGGAAACCGUUGGGUUGAGGGGGGGAAACUCUGGCAAAGGUCGCUAAUACCGCAGAACGUCGCGAGACGAAAGAGGGGGACCUUCCGGCCUCUGGUCAUCGCACGGGCUCAGAUGGGGUUGGUUAGGUGGUGGGGUACCGGCUCAACUAGGCGUCGAUCCCUAGCUGGGCGGAGAGGAUGACAGGCCGCACUGGAAGUGAGACACGGUCCAGAGGCCUACGGGAGGGAGCAGUGGGGAAUAUUGCACAAUGGGCGGGAGUCUGAUGCAACCAUGCCGAGUGUAUGAAGAAGGCCUUCGGGUUGUAAAGUACGUUCAGCGGGGGGGAAGCGAGUACAGUUAAGACCAAUAGUCAUUGACGUUACCCGCAGAAGAAGCACCGGCUAACUCCGUG
rnacentral:rRNA from 1 species